rnacentral:misc_RNA from 1 species
GAUGAAGAACGUAGCGAAAUGCGAUAAGUAGUGUGAAUUGCAGAAUUCAGUGAAUCAUCGAAUCUUUGAACGCACAUUGCGCCCGCCAGUAUUCUGGCGGGCAUCCCUGUCUGAGCGUCAUUUCAACCCUCAAGCAACUUCUGCUUGGUGUUGGGGAUCGGCCGUCAAACGCCGCCCCCGAAAUCUAUUGGCGAUCUCGCUGUAGCUUCCUAUGCGUAGUAGUAACAUCUCGCAUCUGGAGAGCGGCGCGGUCAUGCCGUAAAACACCCAACUUCUCAGGUUGACCUCAGAUCAGGUAGGAAUACCCGCUGAACUUAAGCAUAUCAAUAAGCGGAGGA